UCCGUAGGCGAGCGUCUAAGUCAGUGGUGAAAUCUUACAGCUCAACUGUAAAAUUGCCAUUGAUACUGGAUGUCUUGAAUUAGUGUGAAGUGGUUAGAAUGUGUAGUGUAGCGGUGAAAUGCAUAGAUAUUACACAGAAUACCAAUUGCGAAGGCAGAUCACUAACACUAUAUUGACGCUGAGGGACGAAAGCGUGGGGAGCGAACAGGAUUAGAUACCCUGGUAGUCC
rnacentral:rRNA from 1 species